rnacentral:rRNA from 1 species
ACUGAACGCUGGCGGCAGGCCUAACACAUGCAAGUCGAGCGGAGGGAGGUAGCUUGCUACCAAGGUUAGCGGCGGACGGGUGAGUAACGCGUAGGAAUCUACCUGGUAAUGGGGGAUAACGUUCCGAAAGGAACGCUAAUACCGCAUACGCCCUAAGGGGGAAAGUGGGGGACCCUCGGGCCUCACGUUAUCAGAUGAGCCUGCGUAGGAUUAGCUAGUUGGUAGGGUAAAGGCCUACCAAGGCGACGAUCCUUAACUGGUCUGAGAGGAUGACCAGUCACACUGGAACUGAGACACGGUCCAGAAGCCUACGGGAGGCAGCAGUGGGGAAUAUUGGACAAUGGGGGCAACCCUGAUCCAGCCAUGCCGCGUGUGUGAAGAAGGCCUUCGGGUUGUAAAGCACUUUCGGUCAGAAAGAAGGGUGUCAAAUUAAUACUUUGGCAUUUUGACGGUACUGACAUAAGAAGCACCGGCUAACUCCGUGCCAGCCGCCGCCGUAA